CGUUUGACCUCGGAUCAGGUAGGGAUACCCGCUGAACUUAAGCAUAUCAAUAAGCGGAGGAAAAGAAACCAACAGGGAUUGCCCUAGUAACGGCGAGUGAAGCGGCAACAGCUCAAAUUUGAAAUCUGGCUCUUUCAGAGUCCGAGUUGUAAUUUGCAGAGGGUGCUUUGGUGGUAGUUGCGGUCUAAGUUCUUUGGAACAGGACGUCACAGAGGGUGAGAAUCCCGUAUGUGGUCGCUACUUAUCACCGUGUAAAGCCCCUUCGACGAGUCGAGUUGUUUGGGAAUGCAGCUCUAAAUGGGAGGUAAAUUUCUUCUAAAGCUAAAUACUGGCCAGAGACCGAUAGCGCACAAGUAGAGUGAUCGAAAGAUGAAAAGCACUUUGGAAAGAGAGUCAAAUAGCACGUGAAAUUGUUGAAAGGGAAGCGCUUGCAGCCAGACUUGCCUGUAGUUGCUUACCUAGACUUUUGUCUGGGGUACUCUUCUGCAGGCAGGCCAGCAUCAGUUUGGGCGGUUGGAUAAAGGUCUCUGUCACGUACCUCCUUUCGGGGAGGCCUUAUAGGGGAGACGUCAUACAACCAGCCUGGACUGAGGUCCGCGCAUCUGCUAGGAUGCUGGCGUAAUGGCUGUAAGCGGCCCGUCUUGAAACACGGACCAAGGAGUCUAACAUCUAUGCGAGUGUUUGGGUGUCAAGCCCAUACGCGUAAUGAAAGUGAACGGAGGUGGGAACCUUAGGGUGCACCAUCGACCGAUCCUGAUGUCUUCGGAUGGAUUUGAGUAAGAGCAUGGCUGUUGGGACCCGAAAGAUGGUGAACUAUGCUUGAAUAGGGUGAAGCCAGAGGAAACUCUGGUGGAGGCUCGCAGCGGUUCUGACGUGCA
rnacentral:rRNA from 1 species